GACGAACGCUGGCGGCGUGCUUAACACAUGCAAGUCGAACGGUAAGGCCCUUCGGGGUACACGAGUGGCGAACGGGUGAGUACCACGUGGGUGAUCUGCCCUGCACUUCGGGAUAAGCCUGGGAAACUGGGUCUAAUACCGGAUAGGACCACUGCAUGCAUGGGAGGUGGUGGAAGGCUUUUGCGGUGUGGGAUGGGCCCGCGGCCUAUAAGGUUGUUGGUGGGGUGAUGGCGUACCAAGGCGACGACGGGGAGCAGGCCUGAGAGGGUGACCAGGCGGACUGGGACUGAGAUACGGCCCAGACUCCUACGGGAGGCAGCAGUGGGGAAUAUUGCACAAUGGGCGCAAGCCUGAUGCAGCGACGCCGCGUGAGGGAUGACGGCCUUCGGGUUGUAAACCUCUUUCAGCACCGACGAAGCGCAAGUGACGGUAGGUGCAGAAGAAGGACCGGCCAACUACGUGCCAGCAGCCGCAGUAA
rnacentral:rRNA from 1 species